rnacentral:lncRNA from 1 species
UGAAGACAUGGUGAAUACAUGGAGUUAAAACUCCCUUUUUGGACCUAAGUUAAACUUUACUUUCCCAAUUGAGCUAAUUCUUCCAGACCAAAGCAGGUUUAUUGACUUGUCAAUUUGCUUAUGCAAUUCAUCCAUUUUGUUAAUCAAUCAGUCAAAGGCUGACAAGCAAACUGGGCUUGAUGGCCAGUGCUUAUAAUCCCUGUACUUGGCAGAUAGAGCCAGGAAGAUUAGGAGUUCAUGCCUAGAUUUUGCUGCAUAGUGAGUUCAAGGCCAGCCUGGGUUCCAAGAAACCCUAUCUGGACAACUAAACAAAAACAAACAUCAGCAACAGAAAAACCAGGUAGACAAAAACCACAUACUAAAAACUGAAAAACAAAAUAUUUACUAUGUAACAAUAUUCUACAUGAUAGUACAACAAGAUUUUUUAAAAACUGACUAAACUUCUUUCUGGUUUUAGAGAAGUUACAGUUAACGAUUGUGAUAGGAAGAUCAUUACUGAAGCAUUCUGCAUUAACUUGAGUGUGAAUAAAGUAUGCAUCACCUUAGAUGCUAUUAGCCAGAUAAAGCUUCUCAAAGUAAAGGAUUCCCUCCUGACAGUUGUGUUUAGAUUGAACCAUGUACUGCCUAGGCAGUAGAGUCAGACAUGGAAGACGUAUUUAGGUAUUAGCAGCUAGAGACCAUUUCAGCUACUGCAAAAGGAAUGCAUAAGAGAUUCUCAAGAGGUCAGCAUAAGGCACUCAUUUUUCAAAAAGAUCCUUACGGAUGGAAAUAGAAGACAUGGAAAGAAUGGAUAAACAUGGAUAAUUGCUUACUAAAGUCUCAUAAAACUUAUGUUUGCCAAUGAGCAAAUUUAGUGUUUAGAAUUAGUUGUCAUUUAAAUGGAGGCCAAGGAGAGCUAUUUCCUAGUACUAAUUAGAGAGUUAUAUUGCUAUGGAUUCUUACAGCACAAUUCUACAUACAGGCAUUUUGAUGUUUGCCAAGUAACCACUUUUCUAUUUGGAAGAACGUCUGAGUCUUUCCAGUGAGAGGGCCUCAUUUGAAGAUCAGCAUCUUUAAAAUUGUCCCUCUCCAUCUCACUGUCCCUUCAAUGUCUGGAGUCAGUCAGUGGUAGAACAAGGUAACGGCAAUUAGAGACACUUUCAAGAAAUGUUUUAAAUUAGACAGUGUGCUU